UAGGUGAAGUGGGUAAUCCUAUGCUGCCAAGAAAAGCCUCUAGCGAGUGUUAAAGCCGCCCGUACCCCAAACCGACACAGGUGGUCAGGUAGAGAAUACUAAGGCGAUCGAGAUAACUAUGGUUAAGGAACUCGGCAAAAUGCCCCCGUAACUUCGGGAGAAGGGGGGCCCGUUCUGGUGAGGAGAUUUACUCUCCGAGCUGGGAUUGGCCGCAGAGACCAGGCCCAAGCGACUGUUUACUAAAAACACAGGUCCAUGCUAAGUCGCAAGACGCUGUAUAUGGACUGACGCCUGCCCGGUGCUGGAACGUUAAGGGGACGGGUUAGCGACUUCGGUCGCGAAGCUCAGAACUUAAGCGCCAGUAAACGGCGGUGGUAACUAUAACCAUCCUAAGGUAGCGAAAUGCCUUGUCGGGUAAGUUCCGACCUGCACGAAUGGCGUAACGACUUGGGCGCUGUCUCAACCGUUGACUCGGCGAAAUUGCACUACGAGUAAAGAUGCUCGUUACGCGCGGCAGGACGGAAAGACCCCUGGACCUUUACUACAGCUUGGUAUUGGUGGUCGAUUCGAUUUGUGUAGGAUAGGUGGGAGACUGUGAACUUCGGACGCCAGUUCGAAGGGAGUCAUCGUUGAAAUACCACUCUGAUCGUAUUGGCUGUCUAACCUAGAUCCGUAAUCCGGAUCAGGGACAGUGCCUGGUGGGUAGUUUAACUGGGGCGGUUGCCUCCUAAAAUGUAACGGAGGCGCUCAAAGGUUCCCUCAGCCUGGUUGGCAAUCAGGUAUCGAGUGUAAGUGCACAAGGGAGCUUGACUGUGAGACUGACGGGUCGAGCAGGGACGAAAGUCGGAACUAGUGAUCCGGUGCUGGCAAGUGGAAGCGGCGUCGCUCAACGGAUAAAAGGUACCCCGGGGAUAACAGGCUGAUCUUGCCCAAGAGUCCAUAUCGACGGCAUGGUUUGGCACCUCGAUGUCGGCUCGUCGCAUCCUGGGGCUGGAGUAGGUCCCAAGGGUUGGGCUGUUCGCCCAUUAAAGCGGCACGCGAGCUGGGUUUUAGAACGUCGUGAGACAGUUCGGUCCCUAUCCGCCGCGCGCGUAAGAGUCUUGAGAAGAUCUGUCCCUAGUACGAGAGGACCGGGAUGGACGAACCUCUGGUGUGUCAGUUGUCCUGCCAAGGGCACUGCUGAUUAGCUACGUUCGGAAGAGAUAACCGCUGAAAGCAUCUAAGCGGGAAACUCGCUUCAAGAUGAGGGCUCUCACAGGGUUAACCUGGUAAGGCCCCCAGUAGACCACUGGGUUGAUAGGCCGGAAGUGGAAGUGCGGUAACGCAUGCAGCUGACCGGUACUAAUAGGCCGAGGACUUGACCUG
rnacentral:rRNA from 1 species